AACACAUGCAAGUCGAGGGGAAACGAUAUUGGAAGCUUGCUUCCGAUAGGCGUCGACCGGCGCACGGGUGAGUAACGCGUAUCCAACCUGCCCACCACUUGGGGAUAACCUUGCGAAAGUAAGACUAAUACCCAAUAACGUCUCUAGAAGACAUCUGAAAGAGAUUAAAGAUUUAUCGGUGAUGGAUGGGGAUGCGUCUGAUUAGCUUGUUGGCGGGGUAACGGCCCACCAAGGCGACGAUCAGUAGGGGUUCUGAGAGGAAGGUCCCCCACAUUGGAACUGAGACACGGUCCAAACUCCUACGGGAGGCAGCAGUGAGGAAUAUUGGUCAAUGGGCGAGAGCCUGAACCAGCCAAGUAGCGUGCAGGAAGACGGCCCUAUGGGUUGUAAACUGCUUUUAUAAGGGAAUAAAGUGAGAGUCGUGACUCUUUUUGCAUGUACCUUAUGAAUAAGGACCGGCUAAUUCCGUGCCAGCAGCCGCGGUAAUACGGAAGGUCCGGGCGUUAUCCGGAUUUAUUGGGUUUAAAGGGAGCGUAGGCCGGAGAUUAAGCGUGUUGUGAAAUGUAGACGCUCAACGUCUGCACUGCAGCGCGAACUGGUUUCCUUGAGUACGCACAAAGUGGGCGGAAUUCGUGGUGUAGCGGUGAAAUGCUUAGAUAU
rnacentral:rRNA from 1 species